rnacentral:rRNA from 1 species
ACGAGGAACCGCAAGAAGCUGUUCUACAAGCUGGACGGAGGGUCCAAGGAGUUUGAGGAAUAUAACUUGCCCUUGCACCGCAGAUGGAAGAGAGAUAAACCCAAUGCCAAGAAUCCAUCUGAUUGCAAGGUGAAACCUGACAAUGCAGCCCGUUUGAAGGUUCCAAAGCUGAAAGCAAAGCCUGCAGUUCAUAAGGAUGACAUUGUUGAGUUGAAGAGGGACCGAGUGCCAACCUUUAACCAGAUGGUUGAUCCUUACCACCACCCUUUCUGCCUAGACAUACAUGUCCCGAAGGGGUGGGUGCGUGCUUGCUUCGUUCACCGAAUGACCAGCAGGGUUGUGUCCGUGGCUCACUCCAUAUCAAAGGACAUGAAGUUUGAUCUGGGUUCAAGGAAGGGUAUUAAGGCAUGUGUGGCGGUUGGGACGUUACUUGCGAGGCGUGCGAUAGAGGAUGAUAUUCACUAUGCAAUUUAUACACCUAGAAAAGGCGACAAAACUGAAGGAAAGAUUGAGGUUGUGUUGCAUGGAAUAAUUGAUAAUGGAGUUGAUGUGAAGGUGAAACUCAAACAAAGGAAGCUAACAACGGUAUGUCAUGAUUAUUUAUUAUUGUACUUUGCUUGUCAU